rnacentral:tRNA from 1 species
AACACGUUAGAACGCUAUUCCACGGACUGUAAAUCCGUCGGCUUACGCCUACGCAGGUUCGAAUCCUGCACCUGCCACC